CGUGGAGACAGGUGGUGCAUGGCUGUCGUCAGCUCGUGUCGUGAGAUGUUGGGUUAAGUCCCGCAACGAGCGCGACCCUUAUCCUUAGUUGCCAUCAAUUCAGUUGGGCACUUUAAGGAGACUGCCGGUGUCAAACCGGAGGAAGGUGGGGAUGACGUCAAGUCCUCAUGGCCCUUAUGCCCAGGGCUACACACGUGCUACAAUGGGCGGCACAAAGGGCAGCGACGCCGCGAGGUGUAGCAAAUCCCAAAAAACCGCUCUCAGUUCGGAUCGGAGUCUGCAACUCGACUCCGUGAAGUUGGAAUCGCUAGUAAUCGUGGAUCAGCAUGCCACGGUGAAUACGUCCCCGGGCCUUGUACACACCGCCCGUCACACCACGAAAGUCUGCUGUACUCGAAGUCGCUGAG
rnacentral:rRNA from 1 species